AAAUAGCUAUAGUGUUUAUUAUAUCUUCCAGGACACUGGGGGCGCUAACGAGCUGCACAUAGAAAAUCCUGAAGAAGAAACAUUGAGCGCGGAAAGUCGGAAUUUCGUGCAGAUUUUAUUAUUUUUUAAAAAAAAUAACGCGUAAUUUCCACAAAGUGCUUACUUCUUUUAUCGUAGGCAUUGCGAGUGUGGUAUUUAUUCGUCGGUGUUUGUAGUUUAAACCUUUUCUCGAAGCUUUAAAAGGUCUUUUUGGGCCCGCACGAGGACGCAAUGAUGGAAAGCUAGCAUUGUUAGCUAGCUCUUAUAUCCAGCUCGCGCCAUAGUCUGAAAAACAAACAAAACAAAUAAGUAAUAAAAGUUAUAAAAAAUGUCGGGGUUUAGUUUUGGUCCCACUAACACUGGAGGCUUUUCUUUUGGAGGAGUGGCCAGCGCUCCUGCUUCAGGAACCGGUGGCUUCAGCUUCGGUGGUCUGGGUGCACCGACCUCCAGCACCGCCGCCACCACCGCCACCACCACCACCAGCUCGUCUCUGGGCCUCAGCAGCGGACUGUUCGCCCAGAAACCUGCAACCGGCUUCUCUUUUAACACACCUGCCUCAGGGACUGCUGCACCGUCGACCGGCCUCACCUUAGGAGCUCCCACCGCCGCCGCCUCCACUGCCGCCGCCGCCGCCGCCUCCACAGGCUUCGGCUUCGGUUUCGGAAAACCGGCGGCUUCGGCGAGUCCGUUUUCUCUGAGCACCACCAGCACCACCUCGGCCCCGGCAGCCACCGGUCUGUCUCUGGGCUCCGUCAUCACCUCGUCAGCGCCUCAGAGCGGAUCAUCCACGGGGUUCUCGCUCAACCUGGGAGGAGGAGCCGCGUCCUCGGCUCCAGCCACCGGGCUCAGCCUCGGCUCCUCGCUCUUCUCCAGCUCGGGCUCAACAGGUCUCGGACAGUCGACUCUCGGCGGAGGUCUGACUUUAGGAGGGUUGCUCUCGUCCUCCACGGCGGCCGCGGCUCCUGUUGCGUCGGCGCCCAGUGUGGGUUUGGGUGGAGUCGACUUUAGCACCUCGUCAGAGAAGAAAAGCGAUAAAUCAUCUGGUGCUCGACCUGAAGACAGUAAAGCUCUGAAGGAUGAGAACCUGCCUGCUCCUAUCUGCCAGGAUGUGGACAACUUCCAGAAGUUUGUGAAGGAGCAGAAGCAGGUUCAGGAGGAGAUCAGCCGCAUGUCGUCUAAAGUCAUGCUGAAGGUGCAGGACGACAUCAAGAGUCUGAAGCAGCUGCUGUCGGUCAGCGCCAGCGGACUGCAGAGGAACGCCCUCUCUAUAGACAAGCUCAAGAUGGAGACGGCGCAGGAGCUGAAGAACGCCGACAUCGCACUCAGGACCCAGAAAACUCCGCCUGGACUUCAGCACGAGAACACGGCGCCCUCGGAUUAUUUCCGGGCUCUGGUGGAGCAGUUUGAGGUGCAGUUACAGCAGUACCGCCAGCAGAUCGAGGAACUGGAGAACCAUCUGACCACACAGAGCAGCGGUUCUCACAUCACCCCUCAAGAUCUCUCUCUGGCCAUGCAGAAGCUCUACCAGACGUUCGUCGCUCUGGCUGCACAGCUGCAAGCCGUUCACGAGAAUGUAAAGACGUUAAAGCACCAGUACCUGAGCUACAGGCGAGCGUUCCUGGACGAUCCGACGGACGUGUUCGAGUCGAAGCGAAGCGCCAGCCGGAAGCUGCAGAGCGCCCCGAGAGUCACCACCGGCCCUACGCCCUUCGGCUCCGUCCCAAACGCCGCCGCCGUGGCCAUGGCUGCCACGCUCACGCAGCAGCAGCCCGCUCCAGGUCUGACCGCCUUCAAGUUCUAAGACCUCUAACUGACCUCUAGGCUGUGAGCGAGAGAGGGAGAGAGGGAGAGAGAGAGGGAGAGAGAGAGAUAGAGAGAGAUAAAGUCAGAGUGAAAAUGAUAGAGGUGGAAGCCAGCGUCGUGUCUCUAGCGUAUAGUUUUCUUUCCAUAUUCUGACUUUUUUUUCUUUCUAUUUUUCUUUCUUUUUUCCUUUUUUCUGAAGAAACAGAGCACUUACGAUGGAACGAAUACAGCUCUACGUUUUGUUUCUUCAUUUCACAUUUACAUGAAGGCAGAAGAGAUUAAACUGCACUGUCUCUGUAUUUAAUUAUUUUAUUUGAUUUUUUUUUUUUUUUUUUUUUAAACUAAUCCUGUAACCGUAAAUAAAAUAGCAAUCGAUAACAGGGUACUUACCUCUGAAUAUUAAAAUGGCGAUUAAAGGGUGCUUGCUUGGCACUGGUGCAUAUACUAAUCCCAAAAUAAUGCAGACGUUGCCUUUCUCAAGCUUUUUACUCUCGAUCAAAUAUCAGUGUGUGGUUUUUUUUCCUUUAUAAUCAAGGUUUUAAUAAAUAAAUGAAUAAAUACUAAAGGUUUUGGUGCUUUUAGAUAGUGGGCGUCGUUAACAGCACUUAUGUAGCGAUCGUUACACGAGUCUUAGACUCAUAAACACAUCGUCCUUCAUCUCGAAACCUGUUUACGGUAGACCGUGGGUGGCCGAGGCGUUUCCGAGAGUCGAAUAAACACCACGUGUUCUGGCUGAAGGUUCCAUGUUAAUUAAAUUAAAAUGGCCGCCCUACGUGAUCCUAACACACGAGAAAUCCACAUCGCUUCAACUUCUUUAGUUUAGAUCGCGGCCGGGCGACGUGGCGGAAAUAUUACUCGGAUUAUUCACAGUGUUCAGGUUGGUUAAAGUGCCAGUGCCACUUAAAAACAAACAAACAAACAAAAAAAACUCACAUUUUUGUAACAUGGAAAAAGAAGGAAAAAAGAAACAACUGAUGUAUAUAAUUUUUUUAAUUAAAUAAGCAAAAAGAGGGAGACUCAGUGGUAUAAAAGUACAAAAAAAUACCCAGAAUAAUAUUAAAAAUAACUUUCUGAUGUUAUUUAUCUCAAAUCGUACAGUAUUUAAUCAUCAUCACCGCCGUGAUGUCAUCAGUGUGCGACUCCUCCUUUAAACAAUUCUCUUGUCAUUUCUGUCGGUACACGACGACACUAAAGCUGCGUUCACAUUGCGCUCGUUAAUGUGUUUAACAACAAACAUUACAUCAUAAAAAAAAUCCACAAGAGAGCGUAUAGAAAUAAGAUUAAUAUAAUCUGAUCCGAGCUCAGCAGCAGGAGGCGCACACUGAUGAUGUCACAAGGCAGUGAUUGGUUAAAAGAGAUCUCGUCGCCCUUCAGCUCACUAUGAUCACGUGACUUGUCUUAUUCUACGAUUGUUCUUUAUUUACUUCUUAGAGUUGGAAAUAUAAUUAAAUAAUAAAUUUGUAUUUUUCCCCAAGUGCUGAUCCCGAUAUUCCGAUAUUCACCAGGAUUAGCAUUACGGAUAUUUAUAAAUCAUUUUUAAUUUUAAUAUAAAAUAUUAAACUUACACAUGUGACCAGAACUGAACACACACAUCUCUGGUUACUUGGUCUCUUAAAUAAUAUAAAUUUUAUAAUUUUAUAACUUUUUCAGUGAAUAAGUGAAUUAAAAUUAAAAUAAUCAUUUUUAAAACGUUUCAGUUGCGUUAAAGCACCGUAAAUACGCAUCAAUAAUAAAUACUUGAUUUAAAAAAAAAAAGUCAUUUUUGAAAAUAUUAGUCAAAUUCUGUUUUAUUUACUCAGCGCUCAUUUUUUUUUGGUUUUGUUUUUUGUUUAAAUUUUAGAUUUUUCUUUGAUUAAUAACAACAUGAUUCCAACAUGAUGUGUAUCUCUGGUUAUUCGGGAGUCGUGAUGGAUUUAAUUCAAUAAUUUUGGACAAAAUGAAUGUGAUGAACCUAUUGGGAUCUUACACACACACACACACACACACACACACACACACACACACACACACACACACAGCUUUUAUCAGUACUAACAUUUUUAGACGUGUGAAUUAUUUUAUAUAUGAAAUAUUUUUGCCUAUGCAUUUUUCUACUGAUUUACAGGAUGUUCGUGUUUUGAAUACAGUAUUUUCUUUAAACACACACACACACACGUUUCCAGUUGCGUUUUUGCAUCAUGCUCAUCCCGUGUCGGUAACCAUGGUAACGAUUAUGGUGUCCCCCCCUAACGCUGAUAACCGGUUACAGAUGCGAGGAAUGAUUUGAUCGUCGGGGAUAAUUACAGCUCUCUGUAAUCACAGCUUUUGGAGUGUUUAAUUUUCUGACUAGGGCUCGAAAAACACACGCACACGCACGCACACACACACACACACACACCCACACACACACGCGCACACACACACACACACACGCGCGCGCAUGUUCUCAUACUGCUAAUUGAAUCUUGGAUCAACUCAUGUGCGUCGUCUUAAACAGAGCCGUGUAGGAGAUGAAGCGAGUGUGUUCGAGCGGAUGUUUGAGCCUCUCUGAUCGCUAUUUCCUGUUCACGGCUAAACAGUACCACAUUUAGCGUGUGUGUGUGUGUGUGUGUUUGUGUGUGUGUGUGUGUGUGUGCUAACGCUAAUCUGCAGAAGAGCCAGAUGGGCUGAAAGUUUUCACACGAACGGAUGAGUGCCUGCAUGCCUGACGCUCUGUUUGUACUUGAUUAGACGAUGCUUUUUUUUUUUUUUUUUUUGUCUUCCUAAUUUAUUUAUUAAUCACAAAACAGUCGUCUUGAACAACACAAAAGAAUAGCUACAGUAUUUCAGCGUAAGAGUUGUAGUUAUUUUCUUUUACAAAAUAUUUCACUGUUGUUUUAAGGGAUGCAUCGAUACUGAAAUGAGUAACCUACUAAUUAUUAUUAUUAAUUAAUUAACAUCUCGGAACAUGACACUGAGUUGGUUUCUGCCGUGUGCUGCGUUUUAGGUUUAAAGGCUUAUUUAUACUUACCUGUUAAGUAGGUAUACACAAGAUGGCCGCCGCGUUUAUCCUGCACAUCCUCUGAAAAUAACAAGACGUGUCCGCACGUAUAGCAUCAUGUGACGCUGCACUAACACUAACCGCGUUUCCUAUUACAGCUAGCGUUUGAAUUUUAGAAACCUCUUAAACUUACCGAAAGGUCUGUUUCGAGAUUAGUAAAUAUUUUUGAAUGUAUGGUGAGGGUUUAUGAUUUGAGGCCCCGAUCAUGACAACAAUCACAACGACAGCAGAAAGUUUUGAAGAGGGAGAGAGAGAGAGAGAUCAUCAGGCUGUUUAACGUCGCUGUGCAUGAAAUCGAUAAACAUUACAGUUUGACUUGGAAACCAGACUCUCUAGUGGACCUCGCUUAUUAUCCUGUGAAUGUACGCAACAUACACAAGCGAGUGUGUGAAAAAUGACGCUCAUGUAGCCGCUGCUGGUGAAAGUGAAGUACAUUUGCACCCUCGGAUGUUACCAGAUUUAACUUGUCCCUGUAAUAGAGAGCAUGUGGAUGGCAGACCUGAGCGCGCAAAGCAUUAAAAAGGAGCGAAAGAUUCCUUGAAUUGUACGUCGACUCACAAAAGGAACCAGAGUGCUCAGUGCUCGCUGAACUGAACUGCUCUCUCGUACAUGUGACUGUUUCUCUGUAUGCUUCAACGACGACACAAAGGCAAUAAAUCGAAAUUUGAAGAUACUACUGAAUCUGCUACAGUUCGAUUCGCGUUAGUAUCCUCCAAUCCGUAUGUAACCUGCUUUGUUCGGGAUCUGGAAAACCGCAAAUUCCUGAAUGAUGACAACGUAGAGAAGGACUAUUUCAUAAGUAUUUUAAAAAGCAAAUCAAAUUUGUGAUUGAUGCGUUGAUUUAUUUCACUCGUUGUAUUUUAAAUUGAUUUGUCGAUCCGGAUCGUUACAGCUCUGUUCUCUGUUAAACGUCCAGUAAUGUAGGAAAAUCCCGUAGUUCCUCCUCGUGGUAUUUUCACAGAGCUACAACUCUGCUUUGCUUUAAUUGAUCAUUAAUCAUGGAAAAAAAAAAUUGCCAUAAUUCCAUGUCGUACGUUUCUUUUUGGGACAGCGUACACUAGGAUUCCGUCACAUCGUUUCACCUGGCAACAGAGUAUUUAUUUAUUUAUUUUUUUAGCGAUUAAAAUAAGUAUGUGUAUCGAUGCAUCCCUGUUUCUGUAAUUAUUCCGAUCCGUCACUGCUUGGAGUUUUUAAUUUGUGCCUUUAAGCCUCGGAGAUCACAUUUCAUCCUAAACUAGAAGGAGAACCGCCUUUUCUUCCACACACUACCACAUCAGUGUAAACUACAGGGUGUGUGUCGUUUGAGGUUUUUGUAGAAACCUAUGGUUUGUUUUAGUUGCGUCUUUAAGGGCUACAGUGUUCUCGCUCGCCAGAUGAAGGGCGAGGAGUUUAAAAAUAACGCUGCUCUGUGUGGCCAUGAAGGACACGAUGUGAAUUUUUGUGCCAAGAUACUCAGUAUUUAGCGAUGCAGCAUUGAAACGUUGGCCUUGUUGUCGUUAAAUAGCUGCUAAUCUGGACUUCGGUCCGACAUCCAUCUCUCUUUCUUUCUCUUUUUCUUUCUCUUUAUUUGUGUUUUAACUGCUGAGGAAGGAGUUAUUAAAGGAAUAGUUCAGUGAUUUUUAUUUUUUCUUUUCAACCUGAUCUCUAUCCACUGUAUGUGUAGUGUGUGUGUGUGUGUGUGUGUGUGUGUGUGUGUGUGUGUGUGUGUGUGUGAUUAGCACAGACGAGAAUUUCAACACAUUUCCCUGCACUGAAAAAAAAAUUAUGAGCCUUCAACAAAUUAAUUCAUAAUAGAAAUCUAAGGCCAGAUGUUGAAUUUUGUCGAUUAAAGGUGUCUCUAAUGUAAAUGAAUAAUUCCAGUCAGAGAUGGAACAGCUUUUUCCAGAGGAAGAAUUUGUGUUCGUGUGUAAAAUUGCGUGGCUCUGAUGGUGUAAGGAUACCAUUAAAAAGCGUCAGGAAAGUGUAAAGUAACCGGAACUACUUUUCACUGUAUUGCUCCAGUGUUAGAAAGUUUGACACGAUCUAUAAGAAGAGCUUUAAAACUUUCUCUCUUAAAGUUUUACGUUUGCAUUGUAUAGUUGCGUAUUCUAACGCUUCUUUAAUAACAACAGAAUUCAACAUCUGCCCUUAGACUUCCAUUACAAGUGAAUUUGGCAGAAAAAACGUUCGGAGUUUUGUGUUCUGUUCUCGGUGCUGGGAAACGUAUCAACGUUCUCGUUUGUCGUAGUCUCACACUAUCUCUCUCUCUCUCACACACACACACACACACACACACACACACACACACACACGCUACUGAUACGGUGUGUAGAGUUUACGUUGAAAAUGUUUGGAGUUCUCCUUGAAUAUGAGGUGCGCUUUGUUUGAUGUAGGAGUUUUUAAAAGGAUGUAGUUUUGAUAUAACUCUUAAGGCUUGCAAAAGUAAAGAUGUGGAAUACGUGAUCAUAAACGUGCGACGUUACGUGAAAAGAGUGACCCUACGUUCACGCUAACGUGCGAUAAGGCUGAGCUGUUUUCUGAGAGCGUGUGCAAGACGUAGCUACGAUUUCAGCAGCAUUUAAACUGAGAUUUUGUCAAUGACGCAGUGAAGAAGCGACAAAUGCAAACUCUUGUCUCGAACGAUCCUCAGUUUCUUCCUCACAACGUUAGUUCCUACCUGCAGUUAAUUUACACACACAAAUGGAAUAAGUGUAGUUUCAUCUUAUCCGUCUAUUAAUUAGAGACUUUACAAAAAAGAAAAAAAUAAAGCUUGGACGGAAGUAGCAGAGAUCGUUUGUGGUUCUGGUGAGUGUACGUAGCUAGUAGAGAUAGCUCGCUUUGCUAAUCUGAUCUGAGAACGAAGCUAAUACGAAGCCGCGCACGUAACAAGUAAAUCAAACCAGUGCUUAGUAGCUACGUAUAGCUACUGGACAGGCCACGCCCACGAGCGAUACGAGUCACUUGUGUCACUCGUUAGCGUGAACGUAGGGUCGGCGUCAUAAUGCAUGGGGUAGAAACACUGAACGCUAGUGCUGUUACAAUGCAAGUAAAAUCUUUUUACUCUCAGAAUGAACUCUUUAAUAAUCCCGCAUGCCGUUUGUGUACAGAUUUUACUUUAACGUGGUACUUUGGAGCUCCGUAUCGGGAGUUCAGAGGCUUGUGAUUUUGAUUGUUUACACAGUAACAUGUUCAGCUCUAAUCUUAUUUAUCACGUGUGUGUGUUUUUAAAGUGUGCGUUAAGGCUUUAUUUAAACUAUUGCAUAUUAUUCAUGCAUAUGAUGAUCAUGGUGUGCCUUUUGCACUACAUACAGAAUAAACAGUUUAAAUGAA